GCCUAUUCCGAGCCCCGAGUGCCGAGUCGUCUACUGCAGCGCGCUAAUCUCCGCUGGGAUCUUUGCGCCCCCCAGGGCCUAGGCAGGGGAUUCCUAGAGGUUCCUUUUGGGUCAGAGUUCUGCUCCUGUGGUCCCCUUUCACUCCACGUCUAGCUUCAAUUUCCGGGGUUGCUUCAAUUCCCCUAGAAACCACUAGAUGUCCGCGCUGCUCCAAAUGCUGACUGGGAAAGCCCCCUCUGUCUCCCUGGAAGCCCCUUCGGGUCCCCAGGACCCCUGCUCAAAGCGCAUCCCGAUGUCUUCUUCCCCUUCAGUCACACAGAGUAUGAAAUUUAGCACUGCCCACUAGGAUACUGAGUGGGAGAAACUCCCCGAUCACCCCCUCGUCCGAAACACUCAAGUAACUACCCUACAGCUGAUGGGCAGUUUCUUCAUAUCGCUCACUCGAGGCUUUGAACCUUCCUUGUGACAAACGAAACCGGCUUCAUAAAAUAGCUAGCCGUCAGAGACCGUAGACUUCGCACUCUCUACGUGUUUUUGAAAUGUUGUAUUAAAAGAAUCCCUCCGUGUUUCCUAGGUAGACGGAAACCUUGUCUGCCGUUAGCCUGGUUUCCCUAGCCUGCCACCUAAACUGCUUUUCUCUCCCCUGAGGACGCUACCUAGGACAGCUCGGACUGAAACCUCUGGGACAAGGAGAAAGGAAGCGCUAUUGGUUGGGAGUGGAUGCAAGGUGCUCAUGUAAAACACUCCCCUGCCUCCCCUUCCCAGUGCGGGAGAACCAGAUUAAAAUGGGGAAAUAUUUAACAAAAUAAAUAGAUUUAAUAAACAUAGUUGAUGACACAA